CUACUACUCCCUCCGUUCUGAAUUACUUGUCUUGGAUUUGUCUAGAUACGGAGGUAUCUGACACUAAAAUGAGUCUAGAUACAUCUGUAUCUAGACAAAUCCAAGACAAGUAAUUCGGAACGGAGGGAGUACUCC
rfam:Triticum aestivum genome assembly, contig: Triticum_aestivum_CS42_TGACv1_scaffold_095724_2AL